CAGCGGAGCGGAGCGGGCGGAGACGAGCAGAAGCCCCAAGGCCGGAGCCCCGGGAGCCGCCCGGCCCUCAGCGCCGCAGCACUGGAGCCCCGGGGCGGGGCGUGUACCUGCGCCGGACCCUCCAAAUGGGAGUGGGAGCGCCAGCACCCCCGGCUCGGCAAAGGUAGUGACGGGCAAGUGCCGGGGCAACGAGGGACAGCAACCCCGGCUCGGCAAAGGUAGGGCCCCAGCAGCGCCGGGGCAACGAGGGACAAAAUCAGAAGAGUUUGGGCACCACCCGCAGCCUGCCAAAGGUAAAACAUGGUAAACAAGGUAAAACAAGGUAAAACAAAAUAAAAUUGGCAAAAAUCA